rnacentral:misc_RNA from 1 species
UCGCCAACUGGUGGCUCCGCCGCUGGCUGUGGAGGCUCCGCUACGCCGCGCUGGACGGCGACGAGGUGCUGCGGUCCAUGAGGCAGCAGCGAGCGGCCGACGAGGCGGCGGAGGCGACCGCGACGACCCAGAGUGCGGGCGGCAGGCUCUGGAACGCCGCGACGCGCGUCGUCGUCCGGUCCGCGAAGAGCCUGCUCGUGUCGUCCAGGAGCGGAGGCGACGUGGAUCGGUUGAGGCGCACCGUGGAGAGGUUGGAGCAGGCUUGCGCCAGGCUAGGCGACUUCCUCAAGCUGCUCGAGCUGGAGAUCAUGAGGUCGCAGGCGCCGCCGCCGGCGGCGGCGGCGGCGGCGGCUGCUGCUGCUCCAGAAACACGCGGCUGCAGCCACGACGGCGACACAGUGGAGGAUUUCGUCUCCGACACCAGCAGCCAGCCGGACACAAGCCUCGACGACGGAUCAGAAUCCGAGCAUGACGAUGACCUGACCUACAUUAUUUCGCGCGAGCACAUUUCGCAAGCGGACUACAUUGGCUGCACGGCAGCGAUCGGCCUGCAGAUCGUGACGCGAAAGAUCCAGCGAGCGGCGGGCAAGUUGAGGACGAUGCCGCCAGCCCCCCCUGUGCCUGGCACCACUGACACUGACACCGGUGAUUGCCCGGCACCAGAACCUGCAGACACGGCCUGGCUGCGCGGGAUGGUGGCCGACAUCCGCGAGGCCGUAAGACUCGGCGACAGGACGGAGGUCAACGCCGAGCGCAGGUGGCUGGCGGAGUGGCGCCGCGAGCUGCAAGCCGUGGCGGACAGAGCCGACCGCGUGCUGCUUGCGUCGCCGUCAUCUCUGGCAUCGCUGGGUGCUGGAGGAGACGAUGAGGUGGCGAGGAUGGUGCGGAGUUUGGAAACAGCGGCAGCACACCUGAGGGCCUACGUCACGCUGCUCAGGUUUGCUGUCGUGGUUGUUGAAAGUAGAUAGGAUUUUAC